GACGAACGCUGGCGGCGUGCUUAACACAUGCAAGUCGAACGGAAAGGCCCUGCUUUUGUGGGGUGCUCGAGUGGCGAACGGGUGAGUAACACGUGAGUAACCUGCCCUUGACUUUGGGAUAACUUCAGGAAACUGGGGCUAAUACCGGAUAGGAGCUCCUGCUGCAUGGUGGGGGUUGGAAAGUUUCGGCGGUUGGGGAUGGACUCGCGGCUUAUCAGCUUGUUGGUGGGGUAGUGGCUUACCAAGGCUUUGACGGGUAGCCGGCCUGAGGGGGUGACCGGCAACAUUGGGAAUGAGAUACGGCCCAGACUCUUACGGGAGGCAGGAGGGGGGAAUUUUCCCCAAGGGGCGGAAGCCUGAUGCAGAAACGCCGGGGGCGGGAUGACGGCCUUGGGGUUGAAAACCGCUUUCGCCUGUGACGAAGCGGGGGUGCCGGUAAUGGGUAAAGAAGCCCCGGCUAACUACGU
rnacentral:rRNA from 1 species